rnacentral:rRNA from 1 species
ACGAACGCUGGCGGCACGCUUAACACAUGCAAGUCGAACGAGAGAAGAGGAGCUUGCUUUUCUGAUCUAGUGGCGGACGGGUGAGUAACACGUGAGCAAUCUGCCUUUCAGAGGGGGAUACCGAUUGGAAACGAUCGUUAAUACCGCAUAACAUAAUUGAACCGCAUGAUUUGAUUAUCAAAGAUUUAUCGCUGAAAGAUGAGCUCGCGUCUGAUUAGCUAGUUGGUAAGGUAACGGCUUACCAAGGCGACGAUCAGUAGCCGGACUGAGAGGUUGAUCGGCCACAUUGGGACUGAGACACGGCCCAGACUCCUACGGGAGGCAGCAGUGGGGAAUAUUGCACAAUGGAGGAAACUCUGAUGCAGCGAUGCCGCGUGAGGGAAGAAGGUUUUAGGAUUGUAAACCUCUGUCUUCAGGGACGAAAAAAGACGGUACCUGAGGAGGAAGCUCCGGCUAACUACGUGCCAGCAGCCGCGGUAAUACGUAGGGAGCGAGCGUUGUCCGGAAUUACUGGGUGUAAAGGGAGCGUAGGCGGGAUCGCAAGUCAGAUGUGAAAACUAUGGGCUUAACCCAUAAACUGCAUUUGAAACUGUGGUUCUUGAGAGAAGUAGAGGUAAGCGGAAUUCCUAGUGUAGCGGUGAAAUGCGUAGAUAUUAGGAGGAACAUCAGUGGCGAAGGCGGCUUACUGGGCUUUAACUGACGCUGAGGCUCGAAAGCGUGGGGAGCAAACAGGAUUAGAUACCCUGGUAGUCCACGCCGUAAACGAUGAUUACUAGGUGUGGGGGGACUGACCCCUUCCGUGCCGCAGCAAACGCAAUAAGUAAUCCACCUGGGGAGUACGACCGCAAGGUUGAAACUCAAAGGAAUUGACGGGGGCCCGCACAAGCAGUGGAGUAUGUGGAUUAAUUCGAAGCAACGCGAAGAACCUUACCAGGUCUUGACAUCGUAUGCAUAGCUCAGAGAUGAGUGAAAUCUCUUCGGAGACAUAUAGACAGGUGGUGCAUGGUUGUCGUCAGCUCGUGUCGUGAGAUGUUGGGUUAAGUCCCGCAACGAGCGCAACCCUUACUGUUAGUUGCUACGCAAGAGCACUCUAGCAGGACUGCCGUUGACAAAACGGAGGAAGGUGGGGAUGACGUCAAAUCAUCAUGCCCCUUAUGACCUGGGCCUCACACGUACUACAAUGGCUGUCAACAGAGGGAAGCAAAGCCGCGAGGUGGAGCGAACCCCUAAAAGCAGUCUUAGUUCGGAUUGUAGGCUGCAACCCGCCUACAUGAAGUCGGAAUUGCUAGUAAUCGCAGAUCAGCAUGCUGCGGUGAAUACGUUCCCGGGCCUUGUACACACCGCCCGUCACGCCAUGGGAGUCGGUAACACCCGAAGCCUGUAGUCUAACCGCAAGGAGGACGCAGUCGAAGGUGGGAUUGAUGACUGGGGUG